rnacentral:rRNA from 1 species
GAUGAACGCUGGCGGCGUGCCUAAUACAUGCAAGUCGAGCGAACGGACGAGAAGCUUGCUUCUCUGAUGUUAGCGGCGGACGGGUGAGCAACACGUGGAUAACCUACCUAUAAGACUGGGAUAACUUCGGGAAACCGGAGCUAAUACCGGAUAAUAUUUUGAACCGCAUGGUUCAAAAGUGAAAGACGGUUUUGCUGUCACUUAUAGAUGGAUCCGCGCUGCAUUAGCUAGUUGGUAAGGUAACGGCUUACCAAGGCAACGAUGCAUAGCCGACCUGAGAGGGUGAUCGGCCACACUGGAACUGAGACACGGUCCAGACUCCUACGGGAGGCAGCAGUAGGGAAUCUUCCGCAAUGGGCGAAAGCCUGACGGAGCAACGCCGCGUGAGUGAUGAAGGUCUUCGGAUCGUAAAACUCUGUUAUUAGGGAAGAACAUAUGUGUAAGUAACUGUGCACAUCUUGACGGUACCUAAUCAGAAAGCCACGGCUAACUACGUG